GAGACACCUCGGUGGAGAUUCUGCUUUCAUCUCAAAGAGCUGGUUUCGAUCACGUUCUGAGCAAGCGCAAGAGCUGGCAUGCCAGUGGAUCUCAUUGUGGGGAGCUGCAGUCAUCUCCUCUUCUCCCUCUGCUUGUGCUCCUGAUCUCCUCUCCAGCUGGAGAGCCUCUGCCAGGGCUGCACAGCUGGGGGCCGUAACGCUGCUGAGGAACCAGGACCCCGCUGCUUUGUUGUGGGACCAGCCUGGCCAGCUGGGCGAAGGCAGGCAGGAUGGAGGAGGCUGACAGAUCGUGCCACAGACCUUGAAGAAGGGGCUGUGGAGCCCAGUGGGGGCUGGGAAAGAAACCCAAAGUCGUGACUCCAGCAGAGCCCUGCGUGUCUCCAAAAGCCCCACUCUGAGUUCAUCCAACCAGCAAGGCUGUGCAGUGUGAGAAUCGCUGUUGCAAAACUACCAGAUUCAACCUCCUGGGGAGCCUUUCUGGCCAAGUUUCCCCCCCGCUUUCCCGCUUGCCAGGGCAGGCUGCUUGUUGGAAGACAAGGAUGAGCAGUGCCUGCGUGCCGUAACCUGAAGCACAGGGCAGUGCUAUUCUGACACGCUGGGGGAAGCACACUGGGGCUGUUAAUCUUCACGUGCCGAUCCUUCUCUGGGCAACAUCUCAUCACUGCAAGGAUGUGACUUGAGAGCUGGAUGGUCUGUGAAGGAUGAGCUCCCCAAGUGCUGCCUGUGUCCCCCCGAUGGGUGCUGGGCAGGGCCGGGGGAGCUCUGGAGGAUGGAGGAUGCUUAUGGCUGGGACCGCAGGCUGCCAGGGCUCUCUGGUAUUUCUCCAGGAGCUGGGCAGAUGCAGUGAUCACUGAUGCUAACCAGGAUUCACAGCGGAUUUUCUUCUGCUCCAGGAACAGAGCCAUUAAGGGGUGACCUGUAAAUUAAUACAGCUGUCUAAAGAUUUUUCCUCCUGCAGCCUGGCACCCUGUAAACGCUCAACUCCCAGAAACCUUCCAUGACGCUGGACCUCGAGCGUGCUCAGAGAUCUCCAUGCCUGCCUUUCUUAAGCUUCUCUCAAUCACUUCUAAUAAUGAUCUAUUAAACGCAGAGGAUUUGCUUUAGCUCCCGUGUAAGGAGGAUUGGUUUGCAGCCCAUCCUUCAUCCCAGCUGUUGCACCGAUUGAUCCAGGGCUGGCACUGCACAGGACGUGGCGAAAUGGUGACACCGUCACUGUGUGACUUGGGUGCUGCGAGGGGAUUUAGCGUGCUCUAAGGGCUGGGUGUACGUGCCCCACAGCAGGUAAGCUGCCCCAGAUAGCAUGGGGCUAGCACACGUGGGCAUGGAAGGGAUGAAGGCAGACAAGAUUACAAGCCUAGAUGGCUCUACACAUCUGAUACUUUGCAUUUCUGUAGGCAAAGCUUUCAGAGCCCUUAAACACUAAAUUGUGCCCACAGCCUGAGGAAGGCGGUUUUAUCCUGGUGUGCAGGUGUAGAAACUGAGGCACCGUGUGGCAAAUUUGGGAGAAGUGCAAAUCUCUGGGUUCCACGUGAUAGUUCAUGCUCAGCUCCUGCAGACAGGUGGGCGCUUUGCAGCCUCGUGCUGAGUGGUACUGUGAAACUCAUCCCUCUUACUCUAAUAAAGUCAUACUUUUCUGAGC